AGAGAGGGGGAGGGAGGAGAGGAGGAAGAGCGCCGCAGCCUCGGCAGCUGGAGUCGGAGCAGGGGGGGGACAGUUUCAAAAAAUAAUUAAAAAUCGAGGAAAUAUCCUAGAAAAGCCCUUUUGGCGUGAAAACCCCAAAGAGGAAUCAGGCUUCCCGAAACGUAAGUUUCGGGUGCCAGAAAGGUUCCCCAGCAGCUGCAGCUCGCCCUGAACCUGGCACAUGGCAGCCUCUAGGCUUCACUUUUGGGGAUUGCUUCUGCUUUGAAAUAGCCACAUGGAAGAAAAACUACAAAGUUUUGAGGGGAAAAAAAAACCCCCACCUAACUUUAGCUGCCAUUGUGUCUUCAUCUGUAAAAAUCUUCUUGUCUCGUGGAUUUCAACGUGCAGUUUGCCUUGGUUUGUUCCAUGAAACAUCAGAUGCAACUUUAAUGGCCUAACCCCAAAAAGAUAACUUGACAGCCAUCAAACAUUCAGCAGCGUUCCAAAUACCCUCUUGCUGGAGCCUGCCUUCUACGGGGCCAUGUGGAUGUCAGGCACACACAAUUUGAGUCACGCUGACAUAGCUGGGAUGCCUGGAUUGCGCUGCAAUCUCGGGGGGUACCAAUCACAGGCCAGAGAGAAGCCAUUGGCUGGAAGGAACAAUGCCAGAGUGUUCACCGUCUCUGCAGAGGAGCGGGUGUUGGUGAUGAGGGGAAAGACAGUUGCAGCCAGAGGAGGAAAAUGACCCCAAAGCAGAGUGGGCAUAUGUCAGUGAUGCUGGGCAGAAGCAUUCCAGAGGCUCAGGUCAUGACCACACCCCUCUCCUCCUGCUCCACAACCAAAGAAAUUAAGAAGGCACAAGAUUUUCCCUAAAAUGUCAUGUACAGAAUGCCCGGCUGUCUUCAGGGGUUUGGGAAGUCCAGGGUUGACGACAGCCCAAAUUUAUGAAGCACUUACCUGUACCAGACACUGUCUGUAUCUUACAAAUAAUGCAUUUGAUUCUCAUAACUCCUUCAUGAAGUGUAAGCCUUUUUCUGGUUUACUACAUGCCAAGGACUGUGCCAAAUCAUUCACAUAAAACCACGAGCAUGCAUCACCUUAUUUGGUCCUCCCACAGUCUAAUGGGAGAUUCUACAAUGAAACUGGCAGACUCCUCCUCGUCUCUACCUGUGCUGUCUCCCUCUCUAGUCCCAGACACUGAGAGCGGGUGCCCCGCGGCCCCGUCAGGCCAGAUCACCAAGAAGCUCACCAAGAAGACUGCGUGCCUCGCCCUAGCCUUCCUAAGACGGGAAAGUAGACUCUUGUUUUUGAGGGAAAUUGCCUUUGAGAGAAACAUAAAGGAAUUUAUUUUCUCUUAAGUGAACAUUCCACUUGUAAAAAUGAAAUCUGGAAGAACUUCUGCAAACUCUUGAGUGUUUUGGUCAAUUGACCUUUUACUGUACCAAGCAAAUCUGAAGCCACCAAUAAACUGGGAAGAAAGGUAUUCCCUUCACAAAAGACUUGUCACUUAGCCAGACACUCUGGUGCAGUGCUUCUUUAAAAUAGAGAACAUUUCUGGU